GUCUGUGGCCAUGCCACCCUGAACAAGCCCAAUGUCUGAUCUCGGAAGCUAAGCAGGGUCGGGCCUGGUUAGGACUUGGAUGGGAGACCACCUAGGAAGACCAGGUGCUGUAGACA
rnacentral:rRNA from 1 species